GAUGAACGCUAGCGAUAGGCCUAACACAUGCAAGUCGAGGGGCAUCACAUGAAGUAGCAAUACGGAUGGUGGCGACCGGCGCACGGGUGAGUAACACGUAUGCAACCUGCCUUCAACAAGGGGAUAACCCGUUGAAAGACGGACUAAUACCCUAUAACACAGGGGUCCCGCAUGGGAAUAUUUGUUAAAGGACAACCGGUUGAAGAUGGGCAUGCGUUCCAUUAGCUAGUUGGCGGGGUAACGGCCCACCAAGGCAACGAUGGAUAGGGGAACUGAGAGGUUUAUCCCCCACACUGGUACUGAGACACGGACCAGACUCCUACGGGAGGCAGCAGUGAGGAAUAUUGGUCAAUGGACGCAAGUCUGAACCAGCCACGUCGCGUGAAGGAAGACGGCCCUACGGGUUGUAAACUUCUUUUAUACGGGGAAUAAAGUGCCCCACGCGUGGGGUUUUGCAUGUACCGUAUGAAUAAGGAUCGGCUAACUCCGUG
rnacentral:rRNA from 1 species